rnacentral:lncRNA from 1 species
ACCAAACCUGUGGGCAUGCCUAGAGAAUAGGUGUUCCUAUGUUGGCUGCGGGGAGUCACAAGAUCAUAGCACCAUACACUCGAAGAAGACAAAGCAUUAUCUAACUGUGAACCUCACCACCCUUCGAGUAUGGUGUUAUGCUUGCAGCAAAGAAGUAUUCUUGGAUAGAAAAUUAGGAACUCCUCCUUCAUUACCUCAUGUAAGACAGCCUCAACAAACACAAGAAAACAGUGUCCAGGAUUUUAAAAUACCCAGUAAUACAGCAUUGAAAACCCCUCUGGUUGCUGUAUUUGAAGAUCUGGAUAUAGAAGUGGAAGAGGAAGAUGAGCUGAAGGCUAGAGGUAAAGGCUCGCUCCUGUCAGCACCACUCCACUCUGUACGGCACUGCCCAUUCAUUAAGAACUGCAUAAUGAGAAGCUCAAAGUACAAAGCUUUAUUAGUAGAGCUUAGAGGUGAUAACUAAGAACAGAACUGAGAAGUUGGACCUUGUGGGCCAGUGUUUGAAGGUAAUGCAAACCUGAUUUGUCACACUUGGACUGCGCCCUGUCGUUUAGGAGCCUUUAGCUGCCAAUGUUAUUUUGAGUUCUCACCUGCCAGGGAAGGGUUGCUAGGGGGAUGUGAAGUCGCUUCCUUGGCAGACUGUAUGCCUGUGGCCCAGCGCUCAGGAGGCUGAGGGCAGAGGUUAGCUUCCGCUGCUCUUAUUUUACCCUCAUCUACAAAAAGAAAAAAAAAAUAAAUG